rnacentral:snoRNA from 1 species
AUUUUUUUGGUUCAUAAGCGUGACNAUUGGGUGUUCACACCAUUGCAGGACAUGUGCCUUCGGCAGACCUUGUUACAUAUUGGCAAUUNCCUGUGAGG